AUUUUAGGGUAAGUAUAUCCCGUGUGAUAUUUGGGAUAUACUUAUACUAAAA
rnacentral:pre_miRNA from 1 species